GCAGCCUUCUCUGUAUCCUCCCUGCUAGUGAUGAAAGAAGGACAGCAUCUGGUGGAGAGAAUGGCGGAAGAACUGCAGCCAUAGGUCCUCCCUCUGUGUCAGGGUGCCACAUGUGGAGAUGCUGGCCCAAAGAUGGAGAAGAGGAGGUUUCUAUCCUUGAGAAGUACAAUAUGGGAGAUAGAUAAGUGGAUAAUUAUUUUACAGGAGCUGAGAGCAACCCCUGCUGACAGUCUGCAAGGAAAGGAGAACCUAAAUGAGCCUGGAAGCAGAUACUUCCAAAUAAGAGCCCUGCCCUUGAUUUUGGCCUGUGAAAUUCUAAGAGAACCAAGCCAAGCCUGUCUGGACUUAUGACCUAUAGAGGUGAGCU